GAUGAACGCUGGCGGCGUGCCUAACACAUGCAAGUCGAACGGACUUACAUUGAAGCCUAGCGAUAUGUAAGUUAGUGGCGGACGGGUGAGUAACGCGUGGGUAACCUGCCUUGUACUGGGGGACAACAGUUGGAAACGACUGCUAAUACCGCAUAAGCGCACAGCUUCGCAUGAAGCAGUGCGAAAAACUCCGGUGGUACAAGAUGGACCCGCGUCUGAUUAGCUGGUUGGUGAGGUAACGGCCCACCAAGGCGACGAUCAGUAGCCGGCCUGAGAGGGUGAACGGCCACAUUGGGACUGAGACACGGCCCAAACUCCUACGGGAGGCAGCAGUGGGGAAUAUUGCACAAUGGGGGAAACCCUGAUGCAGCAACGCCGCGUGAGUGAAGAAGUAUUUCGGUAUGUAAAGCUCUAUCAGCAGGAAAGAAAAUGACGGUACCUGACUAAGAAGCCCCGGCUAACUACGUGCCAGCAGCCGCGGUAAUACGUAGGGGGCAAGCGUUAUCCGGAUUUACUGGGUGUAAAGGGAGCGUAGACGGUUUUGCAAGUCUGAAGUGAAAGCCCGGGGCUUAACCCCGGGACUGCUUUGGAAACUGUAGAACUAGAGUGCAGGAGAGGUAAGUGGAAUUCCUAGUGUAGCGGUGAAAUGCGUAGAUAUUAGGAGGAACACCAGUGGCGAAGGCGGCUUACUGGACUGUAACUGACGUUGAGGCUCGAAAGCGUGGGGAGCAAACAGGAUUAGAUACCCUGGUAGUCCACGCCGUAAACGA
rnacentral:rRNA from 1 species